rnacentral:lncRNA from 10 species
UUGUAGUAGCAUGAUUUAUAAUCCUUUGGGUAUAUACCCAGUAAUGGGAUAGCUGGGUCAAAUGGUAAUUCUAGUUCUAGAUCCUUGAGGAAUCGCCACACUGUCUUCCACAAUGGUUGAACUAAUUUACACUCCCACCAACAGUGUAAAAGCGUUCCUAUUUGGGGAAUGAAGGAUUUUUAACUAAGGAAGCUAUGAGAAUGAAAGACCAAUAACAGAAAAGUACAGGGUAGAGGAAAUGUGGGAGUUUAUCGUGGUUUGAGAGAAGAAAGUAUGAUGGGGUAUGAUGAGAGACGAAGGCAUAAAUGGAGGUAGAGGUCAGAUCACGGUGGCCUGCAAGGUCCUAUAUACAAGUAGUCAAAAGGGCACGACAGGUUUUUGAGUAGGGAAGCAUAGUGGCCUUGUAUCGUCUUGCACCCCUUCCUUUUUCCCCUUCUGGCCACAGUCCUGCCCUUCAGACUGUCUGGUUCAAAAUGGAGCUGCCACCUUUUUACAGGCCCCACCUUCCUGGUCACAGUGAUUGGCCUGGGAGUGGGUGCCUGAUUUGGCUCGAUCAAAAUGAGCUGUUUCCUGGGACAUUUGAACUAAAGACCUGCAAGAUCUAGUCUCAGUUCGUCUCAAAGCUGCAUGUUGUCCAGUGUAACCAUAGGAACUGCCGAGAUUGUACGAGAUCAUGGGCUCUGGAAUCAGACAGUGUGAAUUCCAAUCCCUGCUCUAUUACAUAUCCAUUAUGAAACACUGAACAAACCACUUAAUCUCUUACAGGCUCAGCUUUCUCAUCACUGAACUGGAGAUACAGGUAAUAGUAAUAUCUACCCCUGGAGGUAUUUUUAAAUACUUCCACAGUACCUGACACGUGGUAAGUUUUAACAAUGCUGAUGGAGGAAACAUUUGGAUGUUUCCAGCCAAAUUGGAGGAAUCAACGAGUCUUGUCUACUGAUUAGAUAUAGAGGUCGGAAGAUGGAGGAUGGAGGUGAAGCCAAGAUGGCUCUAGGUAUCUGGCCUGAGCAAGAGAACUGACAACAGUUGGUAUUUGGGUUUGACUUGAAGGCAACUGUGGGCCAUCUAGAUGGAGAGAGGUACAGUGGCAUCUUGGAAUUUCUAAAAUAAAAUACAUAUGUAAUAUCUUUUAAAAGUCACCUGCCUGGAAAUGGGGACAAAUCCUUUACUUGGUGAUUUAUGUACAUUUGAUUGUCACAUCCACCUCACAAAGCAGGUAUUAUUAUCAUGCCCAUUUUAUAGAAGAAAAACAGGUUCAGAGAAGGUAAGUAACAUUCCCAAAUGGUAGAGCUUGUGAGUCUCAGAGGCAGGAUUUGAACCCGGGCCUGUCUGACCGGAGACCCAUCCUCUUUAUUAUAGAGUGUUUCUCCUGUGUUGCCUGGAAGUGUGAGUUAAAGCUGAGAGCAUGUGCCACGUGCUCCAGCCCUAACUCUUGUCAUUUAUUAUAUUGGACAAAUUACUUAUUUAUGCCUCAGUUUUGAUGUUAGAAGUGGAGGUAAUAAUAGGACUUUCUUCCUAGGAGUUCAUGAAAAUUUAAUAGUUAAUAUGUCCAGAGUGCAUAGAACAUGGUCUAUCACAUACUAAUGACAUCAUUAAAUGGGACAGGAUGGAGCCUUAUUUAUUUAUUUAUUUAAUUUGUGAGACAAGGUCUCACUCUGUUGCCCACGCUGGAGUACAGUGGCACAGUCUUGGCUCACUGCAGCCUCGACCUUCCCCAGGCUCAAGUGAUCCUCCCACCUCAGCCUCCUGAGUAGCUGGGACUACAGGCAAGCACCACCAUGCCUGGCUAAUUUUUGUACUUUUUGUAAACACAGGGUUUUGCCAUGUUGUCCAGGCUGGUCUCAAGCUCCUGGGCUCAAGCAAUCUGCCCACCUCGGCCUCCCAAAGUGUUGGGAUUACAGGAGUGAGCCACCACAUCUGGCCCAGGGUGGGACUUUAAACAGAAAAAGGACGUGAGCAUGGAGGUCUGGCCUGAGCAGGAGUGAACAAUGCUACAUUGAGGAGAGAACAUUAAAGGAGACCCAGCUCUUGGAGUGAGGCCUUAAGCUUCGGGAGUUGAAACAAUGACCUCCCAUUAAAACCCUUGGAGUCACAGGGAGAAACAGAUUUCUAGAAUUGGACCUAAAUCUGUUCAUUCUUAUUUUUCCUAUUUUUGGCUACCUGAAGAAACCAACAAUAUUUGUUCCCUGGGUAUUUUGAAGUUCACCAUAAAUAAUACCACUCGGUUUAGAAAACUGUGUAUUCAGUUCCUCAGAGAAUGGAUUAUCUAAUUACGUGUCUGUGUUUACAUGGAACAGGUAGUCCAAUCCACGAAAGUGUGAGAACCAUGAGCCUAGUCUCGACCUCAGGAGUUGCCUGAGGAAACUGAUGCUAAAAAUCCAAGUUGCAAAUCAAAAUAUUAGAAAAAUCAAGCCAUGCUCUAGACUUGGAAGCCCGACACUUAGAUCAUCUCUCUCUGAGCAGAGCCAGCUGUUGGCCCCCAUAGGAGUUGGAGACUUGGAAUCCCCUUUGGUGCAGAAACUAUUCCUUCAUGAGAAGAAGUCCUUAAAUAGGCUCUUUAGACAGGAGGCCACAUGUUGAAGGCAGCAGGGUCACAAGAUGGAAGAACCAGGGUCCCAGUAUCAUCGCUCCCUGCUUCAAGCUGCCAGGGGCAGCCUAACCCACAUGGCAUUAUGACAUAAGAAACAAAGUAACUAUUGUUUUAUUAAAUCAAUGAGAUAUUGGGCUUCUUGUUAUAGCAACUAGUAUAAAUUGCCCUGACUGAUACAUUAUGGAUUUAGAGUGCACUGUACUACAACUGUUUGUUGUAUUUUCAAAAUUGUGGUAUAACUGACUUACAAUAAACUUCAUAUAUUUAAAGAGUACUAUUUAAUAAGUUCAACAUAUUCAUAUAUCCAUGAAACCAUCACCACAAUCAAAAUAAGACACAUUUCCAUCAACUGAAAAAGUCUCCUCAUUCUCCUUUGAAAUCUCUUCUUCC